rnacentral:lncRNA from 1 species
AUAAAGAUCUUUCUGGAGAUGUAUCUUCAGUAGCUGAAGUGAGAACAGGAUUCAUGGUUGAGUAGGUAUGUUCUUUUUUUUUUUUUUUUAAACUUAAAAUACGAAUUGUGUAGUAAAUAUGCUGAUUUUAUAGCUAUCCCUCUACGCAACAUUCUUCCUCAUCAUUUUAAAAACAGAGCCGAACGUACUGGUUUUAAAUCGCCGAGGGAAGGAGGUGCAAUACCCUCGGAGGGCAGCCUGGGGACCACUUGCCCUACCCCUUCACCAUGGAUUUGUGAAGCCUUCAGUUUCCUCCCCCUCCCCUCCCGUGUGGGGGCCGCAGCCCAGCCCAGCCCUGCCUCCCGCAAAUUCCGGCCGCCUGCUCACGCCCCGCUCCGUGCUGGUGCCAGACGGGGAGGGAGGACGACGAGGGCACGGCAGGGACUUGGGGAGGCGCUGAGGAGCCGCCGCAGGUCGCUCGCCCCGCAGCGUCCUGGGGUUGCGCGGAGGCGGCGGUGCUGGCAGCGGAGCCCUGGGAUCCCGGGAAAUGUAAACAUUGUGUUUCUUCUGAGCACAGUAUAAGCAUUUCUUCACAUCAUCAAUGAAAGCUUAAAGAUGGAGUCAGUGCCUUUCCCCACUGGAAGGGAUACUUUCAAUCCUGUAAGUGUACCUAUAAGAAAUCAGUCCUAAAUCACACACACGACACUUCUGGGUUCAUAGUUAUCUCCCUACAUUAGGUACUGAUGUGCACAAAAUACCAAACUAUUAAAAGGGAAGAUCCUUAAAUCACUGGGGG